rnacentral:lncRNA from 1 species
AACAAGAUAACACUUCAAACUAGACAUACAUAUAUGCGAGGUUCAGUUGCUAGAAAUGCGAUUGCCAAAAGAGUUCAUAAUAAUUAGGCUAGGAAUAUUUAAAGAGUCAAUCUCAAAAGAUAUCCACCUAAGUGAAUAUUAUGGCAGCGGAAUUUAUUCUUGACAUUCAUUUGGAAAUACAGCAACACCCUCCCUCAGCUUCACACGAUACCAUCUGCCGCUCAACCUGCAAAAGGUUUUGAAAACAAUUGCAGGGCUGAGUACUAGUAUACUCAGUGGGUUUAGCCAUUUGAAAACAUUUGAAAAAAAAUCCAUUUAAAAGAAUAAUCCAUGCUAUGAACAGUAUAACAUAGAAAUAUUUGAAAGCAUUCCAUGCAUACAUAAAAUAAAUUGUGGAUCCAUUUUCAGUCUUCUCUCAAUUGGUGCUUCACCUAUAAUGUGAACAUGUGGGAGCAGCCCACAGAGGUCCACUACCAUGCAUGUUUCAGAAAUGGGAGCAGCCCAAGUCUGACAGUCUGAGGCAAGUGGGAGCAGCCCACAAUACCCCCUUGUGUGUACACAAUCCUAACCAGGGCGAUCCAAUCGCUACGCCGGCUAGGACCCGAUCGUUAGAGAACAUAGGAGCACUUUAAACAAUAGAGAGAUAAAAUCAUUUUAACAUGGACAUUCAUUUGCAUUUGCAUAAAAACAAUUUAGAGCUCAAUAACUCAAAACAUACAUUGGAAAAUAAAAACCCAGCUUGAUAACAAGCCUGUAGAUAAAACUUGCGCAAUUCUCUUCUUGUAAAAUCAGUGCUAAAGCCUUCUAUCAAGUGGACCUACAAGAUAAUCUAAUCUUAAUAGGCCUUAAAAUAUCGCAUGAGCUAACGAUUCUACAAAGCUGCUAAAUCUUAAUAUUCUGCGCCCGGAUUUUCAAAACUCAAUUGAAAAUCUUGAAAAUCGAAAUUAUCAAAAUACUUUUAUUGCAUUAUUCAGUAUGCAAAUUCAUAUCAUAUCUCAAAAUCACAUAAAGUAAAUAACUACACUUAAAAAAAAUGCAGCUGAACUCUUUAAUAAAAUAAGGCCCAUCUUAAAAAAAAGUAAUAGGCCCAAAAUAAAUAAGUAAACCCCCCCCCCCCUUACUUUCUCCCUCACGUCUCCCCCUCUCUCUCUCACCAAUACCAGAACACAUUCCCUUCUCCUCCUCUCUUCGCCAUCUCUCUCUCUCACGCAGCCGCCCCGCCACUUCUCCGUCGCCGGCGACAACAGCGAUGUCGCCGUCGCGCAUUACUCUUCCCCCUCUCCGUUCUCCCCAUCUUGCUUCUCUCUCUCUCUCUCAAAUCCCCAAAUUCUGAAAUCCCUAAAUCUGCAAAUCUACCCUUUCCAUCUUUUUUUUUCUCGGCUGGACGGUCAACGGAGAAGGACCACCGCCGCCAACCACCUCCUACUCACCCUCUCAGACCCUCCCUUAUCUCUCUAUCGGCCGACAGACAGCAGGAGUUUCAGACCACCACCGCCGCCGUUCGCAACUGCCAUCUUAUCUCUCGAUCGACGAACGGACGGCGCCAAUAGGCAACCGCCGCCGCGAUUUAUCACCACCAUCUCCGAUUCUCCCUAAACCGCCUCUUCAUCCCCUCUGAAUUUCGGCCAGCAGCUAGAGAUACCGCCGCCGCCGCCGACUCUAUCCCCGCCUCCACUCCUUCUCUCCUUCUACCAGCGAUGACAGCCACGCCGGAGACAACAGCAGUAACCGCGCCUCCGCGGUCGACCACUGCAGCACCGCUGCCUUCGCUCCCCCCCUGCCCUAACUCGCCUCGACUCGAUUCCCACAUCAACAACACAUAGCGAAAGGUUAAAGAAAAUACGUGUAAGGCUCAAUUAAUCCAUAGGCAUUCUGUAAACUUGUUUUCUUUUUCAUAUGCAGUUUCUGUAACAACCAUAUGUACAUCAAAUAUAUAAGAUACGAUCUUUAUUCAUGUAUGCUAAUCAUCUUUUAGAUGUAUAUGAAUGUCUUGUUUGAUUGUAAAUAAAGAAUGGUUAUUAUUAUGCUUUGGCGUAUGAAAUUGGAGUGUAUGUUUGAGAAUGGAAGUGAACUGGAGGCAAACCUUUAUGAGAAUUCUGUUAUGAAGUAAAUUUUGAGGGCUGUGAUUUUGAGCUACGAACUGUCGCCUGCUACUCUUGGUGAGAAGCUGGGAUUUUGAGUUGUGUGUUGGGUGAAGAGUUAAGCUGCUUCGUGUGUGAUCGAAAGGGCGAGAAUGGCUAAAAUUUAUAGGGG